rnacentral:rRNA from 1 species
UUCCGGUUGAUCCCGCCGGACCCCACUGCUAUCGAGGUGGGACUAAGCCAUGCCAGUCGAACGACCCGGACUAUGGCGGGGAGUGGCAGACUGCUCAGUAACACGUAGCUAACCUACCCUCAGGACGGGGAUAACCCCGGGAAACUGGGGCUAAUACCCGAUAGGUAUGGAUUCCUGGAAUGGUGCCAUGCCUAAACGUAAGCACAUCCAUGUUUGUGUGCACGCCCGAGGAUGGGGCUGCGGCCGAUCAGGCAGUUGGUGAGGUAACGGCUCACCAAACCUUUGACCGGUACGGGCCAUGAGAGUGGUAGCCCGGAGAUGGGCACUGAGACAAGGGCCCAGGCCCUACGGGGCGCAGCAGGCGCGAAACCUCCACAAUUCACGCAAGUGAGAUGGGGUUACCUCGAGUGCCAUCUGAAGAAGGUGGCUUUUCCAUGGUGUAAUGAGCCGUGGGAAUAAGGGGGGGGCAAGACUGGUGUCAGCCGCCGCGGUAACACCAGCCCCCCGAGUGGUGGGGAUGAUUAUUUGGCCUAAAGCGUCCGUAGCCAGCUCGGUAAAUCUCUCGUUAAAUCCAGCGUCCUAAGCGUUGGGCUGCGAGGGAAACUGCCGAACUAGAGGGUGGGAGAGGUCAGCGGUAUUCCUGGGGUAGGGGCGAAAUCCAUUGAUCCCAGGAGGACCACCAGUGGCGAAGGCUGCUGACUAGAACACGCCUGACGGUGAGGGACGAAAGCUGGGGUAGCGAAUCGGAUUAGAUACCCGAGUAGUCCCAGCCGUAAACGAUGCAGGCUAGGUGUUGGGUCGGCCAUGCGCCGCCUCAGUGCCACAGGGAAGCCAUUAAGCCUGCCGCCUGGGGAGUACGGCCGCAAGGCUGAAACUUAAAGGAAUUGGCGGGGGGAGCACCACCAGGCGUGAAGCCUGCGUUUAAUUGGAGUCAACGCCGG